UAAAGUCUGGCCUGCCCACUGAUUUAAUUUAAAGGGCCGCGGUAUACUGACCGUGCGAAGGUAGCAUAAUCAUUAGUCUUUUAAUUGAAGGCUUGUAUGAAUGGUUGGACAAAAAGUAAGCUGUCUCAAUUAUAAUAAUUGAAUUUAACUUUUAAGUGAGAAGGCUUAAAUAGAUUAAGGGGACGAUAAGACCCUAUAAAGCUUGACAAUAAAUCGUUUAUAUUAUAAACUGUUAGUGUAACUUGAUUUUAAACGGUGUUUGUUGCGUUGGGGCGACGGGAAUAUAAAAGGUAACUGUUCUUAUAACAUUUAAUAACAGAAAUAUCUGAAAAAUUAAUGAUCCUUUUUUAAAGAUCAUAAGAUUAAGUUACUUUAGGGAUAACAGCGUAAUCUUCUUUAAGAGUCCAUAUCGACAGGAAGGGUUGCGACCUCGAUGUUGAAUUAAGGUAUCCUUAUAAUGCAGCAGUUAUAAAGGAAGGUCUGUUCGACCUUUAAAUCCUU
rnacentral:rRNA from 1 species